AGCCUGGGGAGAGGGACGGCAGGAGAGUGAGCAGUGGCGGGGCCAGAGUCUGGGGACAACGCAGAAGCUCCUAGGCAGAAGGACCUGCUAUCUAAGGAAGGGGCAGACAUAAAAGGAGGACACAAAGAUCAAACAACCGUCACUCACAUGCCCACCGCUGAGAAACAACCCCAUUACUUAGUCUUUACGACAAAACACCGUUAACAAUCAUCGCUGUCAUUUUGCAGCCGAAGCAGUCGGUGCACAGAGAGGUCAGGAGACCUGCCCGGUCACGGGACGACUAAGCGGCAGAGCCGGUGAUCGGAUUUGGGUUGGGUUGGUGUUAGAGCCCACAUCCUCUUCUACCUAGCUGCCUGUGUUCAGUGUUCCCACUGCUUGCUCACCAAUGCCAACCUCCCGUAGGCCCACCCCUCCACUGGGGCCCAGAAACGGAAGCGACCGAGUCAGCGCCUCAGCAAGCAGGGAAGAAAACCGCAGACCACUUCCUUCCGGAUGCCCGAAGCAGACUUUCCCCUCCGGUCCCACAGGCUCCAGCCAACAGGAUGGUCCCCAAACCACCUGCAGCCGCGUCUCCUGCUAGGGCACCCUGCGGCAGGGCCAAAUCCUCACAGUCCCCCUGGAGAACCGAAGACACCUUGAUGGAGACACAAUUCACCGAUCAUCAAAGGAACCCAUUUAGAGCGCACGACUGAAUAGUUUCAGUGUAUUCACGGAGUUGUGCAACCAGCACCACGAAGUUCAGAACAUUGUCAUUCCUCCAGAAAGAAACCCCGUGCUCGGGAGCGGUCAGUUCCCAUUUCCCCUCAACCGCUCCAGUUCUAGGCCACCACUAAUCUACUUUCUGUUUCUAGAGAUCUGUCCAUUCUUUU